GAUGAACGCUGGCGGCGUGCCUAAUACAUGCAAGUCGAGCGAACAGACGAGGAGCUUGCUCCUCUGACGUUAGCGGCGGACGGGUGAGUAACACGUGGAUAACCUACCUAUAAGACUGGGAUAACUUCGGGAAACCGGAGCUAAUACCGGAUAAUAUAUUGAACCGCAUGGUUCAAUAGUGAAAGACGGUUUUGCUGUCACUUAUAGAUGGAUCCGCGCCGCAUUAGCUAGUUGGUAAGGUAACGGCUUACCAAGGCAACGAUGCGUAGCCGACCUGAGAGGGUGAUCGGCCACACUGGAACUGAGACACGGUCCAGACUCCUACGGGAGGAAGCAGUAGGGAAUCUUCCGCAAAGGGCGAAAGCCUGACGGAGCAACGCCGCGUGAGUGAUGAAGGUCUUCGGAUCGUAAAACUCUGUUAUUAGGGAAGAACAAAUGUGUAAGUAACUAUGCAAGUCUUGACGGUACCUAAUCAGAAAGCCAAGGCUAACUACGUG
rnacentral:rRNA from 1 species